AAAAUGACUCUCGACAACGGAUAUCUCGGCUCUCGCAUCGAUGAAGAACGUAGCAAAAUGCGAUACUUGGUGUGAAUUGCAGAAUCCCGUGAACCAUCGAGUCUUUGAACGCGAGUUGCGCCUGAAGCCAUUAGGUUGAGGGCACGUCUGCCCGGGAGUCUCGC
rnacentral:rRNA from 1 species